UUGAAUAAUUUAAGCAUGCAGUUUUUAAUUGUCCAAUCAACUCUCCACCCAGCCUACACCAUGCUUUGUACCUCCAAGCAACCCCAAGCAUCAACUUAUUCAAACUUUUACUUUAUCCCUUCAUCAUGGCUUUUCCUCACACCUUCAGUAGUUCAGAAGGCUCCUUCUCUCACAGGCGAAUUUUAAGUGCAUCAAGGUAAGAACUCAAAAUCUAUUUUCCCACUUCCUGUUGAGUAAACAACCCUUCAUUGUUUUUAAUCCUCACAAUUCUAAAUCAUUCCACAGCAGUCAGCCAAAAUCAGAGCACCCACCAAAAACUUUCACCAAGGUAACCACUUGUUUUACCACUUACCUCUCUUAUUCAUACAUCAAGCUUCAGUUUAGUUCAAGAAUGAAGUAUAAACUACCAUUCUCUUGCAAGUGUUGCCGCUGCGUCGGUUGGUGUAAUAUUGCGCUUCGUGAUUUUAUAUAAGUUCUUCAUUUUCCCUUCAAAAAAAAAAAAGUAUAAACUAUGAAUACACACAGCACUUCCACAUAGCAUUUACAGAUUAUGCAUAUAAGUGAUUGAACAAAAUGACAUUCACAAAUAUACAUAUGCAUACAAUCUGUGUAUAUAUACAUUAUAUGAAGCAUGUUUAUUAAAAAACGAAAAGAAGAAAGAAGUAGAAUUUUUGAAGCUUUGAUUCCCAUUUGUUUUCGUUCUUGCUUGUUGAGUCGGGUAGUGCCUCUGUUUGUGUGAGUGAAUCGAGUCAGAGUCUAGAGGAGGGCUGUGGUUCGCCACUGCUGGGGUCGUCGGAGAAGUGAGUCGAGCGGGAUGAGGGAGAGCAGGGGGCUGGGCCGGCGAUGGCGGCUUCUGCCGCUGUCAGUCGGAGAUCGAGGAUGGAGUUCAGAGCUGUGGUCGGCGGUGGCACGAAGCCACCGUUGUCCGUCCAUUAGCGAAAGAGAAGAGGUGAGGUUGGAUUCUGUUUGGGGGCUGGGGUUCAGGCGGCGCUUCCGUUUGAAAUCCGGGCGGCGGCGGCGGCUGAAACUGAGCAGAGAGAGAGAUAGGCCGAGGGAGAUGGGGAAGGAGGUGAUGCGCGACUGGUGGCCGUUGGUGGCCGAAGCCGGCGUCUCUGUCGGUGUGCGUGAGUGAGCCGACGGAGUGAGGUGAUAGUGGUGGUUCUCGCCGCUGCUGCUCGCCGGAGAAGUGAGCCGAGAGGGAGAAAUAGAAGUGUUUGUGGCGGAUUUCUUGAGAGAGAAGAGGGAGAGAGCGGACAGGUUGGAGUGACCGCCAGACGAUGGAGUUGAAAAUGGGUUGGUAUACAACUGAAAAUACGGGGCAGAUCAAAGCACAAAUCCACCAACAAGAGAUGACCUUGGCCCAGAUUAAUUCAAGAGGACCGACGUAAUUCACAUACGAAAACUAAAACAACUACAGGAAAAGGAAUAAUGGAAAGUCUUAUGAGACACCACGGACAAGAGGAAGCACGUGGGAGCACUGAAUGAGAUAGAGUAAUAAUUUAUAUUUAAAGCGUUCAUUUGGUAAUGUUGCAAUAUAUUAUACUGUAUGAAAUAUAUUUAUGUAGUGACCCGUUCUUUUAUAUAUUUUAAAUCCAGUAAUGAGUGUUUAUUUUUGUUCAUCAGUGAAUGAAAACGGUUUUUAUCUGAUAUGAAUUCAGCUUAUGAUCCUGAAUUUAUAUUGUUAAAGCAGUCAAUGAUAUUAUUUCAGAUUUAACUGACUUAGCAAAGUCACGUUAUUUAUUUAAGCGAGAUGGAAUUAGAUUUUAUUUUUUUAUUCAGGUCGUGAAUUAUUUCCGACUCAGGAAGUUAAUUAAAUCUGCGGAUUUAAUUUAAAUAUUAGAACAACAAACGAAUUAAAUCUACGGAUUUAAUUUAGAUUCAUUUUAUAAUUUAUGAUUUUAGAGAGAUAUCACAUGUCGAAACGAUAUUUAUGUAAAAAUAUAGUAUCAAGCAGAAUCGAAGCCAGUAUUUUAUCACAGUUACAGAAUCAUCGAGACAUAGAAAAUACAUCAUUAAUUCUUCUUUACAUAUUUUUUUAUUAUUUCUUUUUCUUUCCAUAAACCUUUGUUUCCCACUUAUUUACCCCACUAAAAUUUGUCAAGCACUUAUUUGUCACCAUUACAUUUUUGUAAGCAUUAUAUUUGACAAGCCACUACAAUAAUUCUUCCACUUAGUCGACUCCAUCCAAGAACACCAAUAAUUCCCUCAUCCUCCACUUAGCUCUCCACUCCACCAUCUUGUUCCACCUGCAAUCAUCAAAGAAACAUCAAUAUAUUAAUUCAUUUCAGUUAUCUCAGUCCAGAAACACCUCAACAAUCGAGAUACUAAAGGAGAACUUUCAUUCAUUACUCUGACCAGAAACAUUAAGGUAAAGAUUAGUAUUGAAUCAUCAUCUUCUUCCAAUUUCAACCUGCAUUUACUGAAAUGAAUAAAUAUGAUUUAUUUCAGAUUCCUUCCACUUAAUCCACCCACAGUAGCCAACCAACACCAAUACCUCAAGGUAUUUAAUAUCUCAGUUUUAAUUCAUGUUACAUAAGCAUCACCCAUCAAUCACGUUUCAGUUGUAUAGAAAUAUAGCAAGUUAGAAUAACAGAGGACCUUUAUAUAUGCUAUUGGCUAAGCUUAGCAACAUUAUACUCUACAUCAGGAUGGAACAAAUCAUGGAAUGCUUUAAAGAGGUAGAAUAUUACUAACGGACAAUUUACUUGCUCGAGAAAAUCAAUAUGCUUACCCAUCGAAAUCCAACCACGCAACGAAAACAAACGAGACUAGAGAACUUAGCUUUACGAUGAGUGGUACUGGACUGUCGGAGCUCUGCGACUCACGGCGACGGCGGCUCCGGAAAGAGGCUACCGGCCCUUGCUGUUAACACAGCGGCUGGCGGCGGCGUUACCUCAGCAGCGGCGACCCGGCGAAACAGAGCACCGACCUAACCAGCCGAGCAGGGCUCGAGCGCAGCAGCAGCGACGCUCGGCAACGGCGUCCUGCCCUUUUCUGAAACUUAGGGCUCGACGACGGAGGGAGAUUUUGAGGACGAGGGAGAUGAACGGCGCCGCUCCCAGGCGGCGAAUCACGUCGGACUUCCAGUUGCAAAGACGGCCUCGGCGGAAAUUGGGCACAGCGGCGGUUCGCGGUUCCUUCACCCAGCACCGACAGCGACGGAAGGAGCCGACCUCGUCGGACCUCAGAAUGGCGGAAAUAGCGUCCUACUCGCCGGAAAAUGCAGCGGCGGCGGCAGCUCCAAAAAGGGAAAAUUUGGGAUUUCUUUUUGAUUUCUCCAGUAGAUUUGAGAGGAAGGAAUUGAAGAGAGGAGGAGGCGUCGGACCUUGGCGUGGCAGAAGCUGACUCGCCGGAUUGUGGAGCGGCGACGGCGGACGCCUCGGCUGGAGACGGAUCGAGAGAGAGAGCUCGACUGUUUGGAAUAAAAAGAGAGAGAGAUGAGCGUAUUAUGCUUAGAGAGAGAGAACCGAGUGUUAUUUUAAUUGGGCUCUUUUUAUUUUAUUUGGGCUUUUCCCUUAUUUAUUGUAAUUGGGUCCUAAUUCAAUUAUUUUGUUUGGGCUUUUCCCUUAUUUAUUGUAAUUGGGCCUAAUUCAAUUAUUUUGCUUGGGCUUUAGUUUAAUUAAUUCAUUGGGUUUUGUUAUUUUAUUCCGAUUGGGCCUCUGAUUUUAUUUAUAUGGGCCGAUUUUAAUUAUUGAUUGGGCCUCUGAUUUUAUUUAUAUGGGCCGAGAUUUGCUUUAAUUUUCAGUGGGCUUGAGUUGGGCUGGAUUAUUUCUUAAUUUUGGGCCUUGGUUUAUUUUAUUCUGGGCCACUUUUAAUUGACUUCGGGCUGAACCUUGAUUUAAAUCAAGCCCAAUUGUUUUGUUAAGGAUGGGCCUGCUUUACCUUAUUUUCAUUGGGCCGCAACCAUUUUUCCAUAUUGGGCUGAGUUUUAAUUUAUUAAAAGCCCAGCUGCAUUUAUUAAUUGGGUCCUUAUUAUUUCCUAUUGGGCUGAGAAUUAUUAAACGGAUUGGGCCUCACUCAUUCUAUUGGACUGCUGUAUUAAAUUAGUUGGGCCUCGCUUGAUUUAUUUUUUUUGGGCCCAGCUAAUCAAUUAUUUAUUUAUUGGGCCAAGAUUUAUUUAAUUACUUGAGCCGAUGAAUUAUUUGAAAUUAUAUUAUUAUUUCCAUUCAUAUUCGUUAAGCCUGAUUAAUUUUACGUGAUCAUAUGUCGAAUGUUCAGUUUAACUGUCUUUUUAUUCGGCUAUAUCAAGCGAGAUUUAUUUAAUUGGCGGAUUAGAACACCCUAAGAGAACGGAUUAAUUUUUAUUAAUUAUCCGGCUUCAUGAGAUGAGACUUAGCUUUUGAUUAAAUCCGAUAGCCUGGAUUAACAAUAGAAAUUCCCUAAUUAUUAUCUCAGAAUAAUAGUUCAUGCAUACGAGAUUCAUGCAUAGUUAAAUUACGCAUUCUCAUUUAAUUGAGAAUUUUCCCUCGAUUUAAAGUCUUACGUUAUUUUCUCGGAUUAAAGGUCGAGCGCAAGAAUAAGAGCUCGUCAAGGAGUCAUAAUCUGUAGCAAAGCUUUGCUAU
rnacentral:lncRNA from 1 species